rnacentral:rRNA from 1 species
UGCCAGCCGCCGCGGUAAUACGAAAGGUGCAAGCGUUGUUCGGAUUUACUGGGCGUAAAGCGAGUGUAGAUUGUUUGUUAAGUCGGAUGUGAAAUCCCGGGGCUCAACCUCGGAACUGCAUUCGAUACUGGCAGGCUAGAGUUCGGGAGGGGUAAGCGGAAUUCCGUGUGUAGCAGUGAAAUGCGUAGAUAUACGGAGCAACACCUGAGGCGAAGGCGGCUUACUUGACCGAUACUGACGCUGAGGUGCGAAAGCGUGGGGAGCAAACAGGAUUAGAUA